GGCUACCACUUCAGAAUCAGCCAUUGGUUGCCACUUGUACGAAUUACACUAUGUCUACGUCUAUCUCUAGGUCUGGCCUCCCAUGGAUCUGAAGCAAGAUGAGACUUCAUUCAAGCACAAGGGAAGCAUUAAGGAGUGUUAUUCCAUAGACAACACUCUGAUUAACAACGCACCUCAACUCAUCUUUUGUGACUCCUCCCUAUGAAGCACUAGGCAACAGGCAAUUAGCACAUAAACAAAUAGGCAUAGCCAGACAUCUCUCCAGUCCUCUUCACAACACGGCCUUCACAGGGGCCAAAUACAAGUCCUUCAGGAAUGUCAGCACAGGUCCAUACCCCCAAACCUCCAUCCUCCAUCUUGGACUUGGCAA